rnacentral:rRNA from 1 species
CUGCCUGGUAGUGGGGGACGAACGUUUCGAAAGGAACGCUAAUACCGCAUACGUCCUACGGGAGAAAGCAGGGACCUUCGGGCCUUGCGCUAUCAGAUGAGCCUAGGUCGGAUUAGCUAGUUGGUGAGGUAAUGGCUCACCAAGGCGACGAUCCGUAACUGGUCUGAGAGGAUGAUCAGUCACACUGGAACUGAGACACGGUCCAAACUCCUACGGGAGGCAGCAGCC